GAUGAACGCUGACAGAAUGCUUAACACAUGCAAGUCCUACUUGAUCCUUCGGGUGAUGGUGGCGGACGGGUGAGUAACGCGUAAAGAACUUGCCCUGCAGUCUGGGACAACAUUUGGAAACGAAUGCUAAUACCGGAUAUUAUGCGAGAUUCGCAUGUUUCUCGUAUGAAAGCUAUAUGCGCUGCAGGAGAGCUUUGCGUCCUAUUAGCUAGUUGGUGAGGUAACGGCUCACCAAGGCGAUGAUAGGUAGCCGGCCUGAGAGGGUGAACGGCCACAAGGGGACUGAGACACGGCCCUUACUCCUACGGGAGGCAGCAGUGGGGAAUAUUGGACAAUGGACCAGAAGUCUGAUCCAGCAAUUCUGUGUGCACGAUGAAGUUUUUCGGAAUGUAAAGUGCUUUCAGUUGGGACGAAGUAAGUGACGGUACCAACAGAAGAAGCGACGGCUAAAUACGUGCCAGCAGCCGCGGUAAUACGUAUGUCGCAAGCGUUAUCCGGAUUUAUUGGGCGUAAAGCGCGUCUAGGCGGUUUGGUAAGUCUGAUGUGAAAAUGCGGGGCUCAACUCCGUAUUGCGUUGGAAACUGUCAAACUAGAGUACUGGAGAGGUGGGCGGAACUACAAGUGUAGAGGUGAAAUUCGUAGAUAUUUGUAGGAAUGCCGAUGGGGAAGCCAGCCCACUGGACAGAUACUGACGCUAAAGCGCGAAAGCGUGGGUAGCAAACAGGAUUAGAUACCCUGGUAGUCCACGCCGUAAACGAUGAUUACUAGGUGUUGGGGGUCGAACCUCAGCGCCCAAGCUAACGCGAUAAGUAAUCCGCCUGGGGAGUACGUACGCAAGUAUGAAACUCAAAGGAAUUGACGGGGACCCGCACAAGCGGUGGAGCAUGUGGUUUAAUUCGACGCAACGCGAGGAACCUUACCAGCGUUUGACAUCCUAGGAAGUUGGCAGAGAUGCCUUCGUGCCCCUUCGGGGGAACCUAGUGACAGGUGGUGCAUGGCUGUCGUCAGCUCGUGUCGUGAGAUGUUGGGUUAAGUCCCGCAACGAGCGCAACCCCUUUCGUAUGUUGCCAUCAUUAAGUUGGGAACUCAUGCGAUACUGCCUGCGAUGAGCAGGAGGAAGGUGGGGAUGACGUCAAGUCAUCAUGCCCCUUAUACGCUGGGCUACACACGUGCUACAAUGGGUAGUACAGAGAGUCGCUAACCUGCGAGGGGGAGCUAAUCUCAGAAAACUAUUCUCAGUUCGGAUUGUACUCUGCAACCCGAGUACAUGAAGUUGGAAUCGCUAGUAAUCGCAAAUCAGCCAUGUUGCGGUGAAUACGUUCUCGGGUCU
rnacentral:rRNA from 1 species